UCCUCUCCCCCUCUGCGCGACUCCGGCCGAUCCCUCCGCCUCCCUUUCUUUCCCCUACCUCCAGCGGGGGCUCCGCCCAAACCCGCCGCCCCCUUCGCGUCGCCCUGCACCAGCGAUGCGCGGUCCCGGGCGCCAUGGCCUCCCCAGCACGGGCGGCACCGGGUACCACGGCGGCACCACCGCCCCAGUACGGCCGAUGCCGGCCGCCCCGGCGGUGCGGCCGCGUUAGCACGAGCAGCCCCGUGGGCCUUGCGGGAGCCCUUGCAAGGGCGCCGCCAGGCCAGGCAGUCGCCGUAGCACGGGCGCCCCCCUGCGCGUCGGCCUCAACGACCGGCCCUGCCUGGUCGUGUCUUCCUCUUCCCCGGCUGCUGCUCCGCUCGGCAGGUGGCCUUUGCCAAGGCGCGUCACCUCAGCGACCGGAUCUGGUGAGACCUCACCCUCUUCUUCUCCUCUAUUCCAUAGCUGCUCCCCCAGGUCCUCCAUCCCUCCGCGUUCGCCUUCGUGCAGGUGAGUGGCCGCUGCGGCAGCAUGUGCUACCUCCCCUCUACACGCCGGUUGCAUCCACCGCCUCCGUGGCUGCCGUUUUCGUCGUUGGUCUUCCUCUUCACCUCCGCCAACCCCCGUGCUUUACGUUUUCAAUCCCCCUACGAACGCAAGUUAGGCUUAGCGGUACCGAGGGAGGUCUAGCAGUUCCACCUCCACCAUGGAUUCUUUGAUCAGGACUAAUAUUUUUCAGCACACGGCUAAAUAGAGUUAAGGCUUCAAGAGUCUUCUCUCCUUUCUUGAUUGCUGUCCACAUCUUCUUUGCCUUCCAUUCCAUAAGACAUGGAGUACUAUCACUUUCAUAGUGUUUUUUAUUUUUUAUUUUGGCAGAACCUGUGUUCCAAUCACCCACGAACUGCACUUCGCAGGUCAGGUAGCACAGAAAAAACAGAGAGGCAGCAUAGGACCAGAAGAGAAUUGAAAACUGAAGCCCAUGUUGAGAUCAUUGCCAUAAUUGGGUGGCACUCCAUGUAGCAGACUAUCAACCUUGGAGCAAAACAUUAUGCCUGAACACCACAUAGUAACAGGCUUAUUUUGUUUUUGGUUCCAGGAGAGGCACUGCAGGUGAGAUCAAUAUGGUGGAUCUGUUGAUUAUGUCAGCUGUAUUCUUCUCUAUUCUUUUUGAAUGGUUGGAUUGUGGAUGUGUUGUUGCAAAUGCAUGUAUUUUAUUGGUGCCCUUUGUGUUGUUUCCUCCUGUUGAGAUUCGAUAAGCACUUCCUUGGCUAAAUCAUCUUGCUCUCCCCCCACUGUGGUUGGACUGACAACCUUUUUAGGAAUUAGAGAAACAUGGACCUUUGGUGUAUAGGUUCCUGCUAAUAUUGAGAGGAGAGAUCCAAAUGUUUCUUCAUCUACCUUUGUUGCUUGGAAUGUUUGGCAUCAUCAUAUAUUUGUAAAUUAGCUUUCGACGCAUAUCCAGUUUCUUAGAUCUUAAAACAUUUCAUAUCAGGUAGCUUAUUUCAUUGGGUGAAUAGGGGAAGAAACAGCUGCUCUAAUGGUCUACAUUUCUAUGUGCAUGUCCUGAUUAGAGGCCUGCACAAAGUUUCUCAUGAACUGUGAUUCAUUGCAAUUUCUAUGAGACCUACCUAUCUCCAUAUUUCUGCCCACCUUUUGGUUCUUAGGUUCAAUUGUUUCAUGCUAUCUUUCGGACUUCCUGCCCUGUGCGAAGCACGGGGGUACCCGCUAGUUAUCUAUAUCAUGCUCUCUUCACGACUGAGGUAAAGUGGAAUGAAACCUUUACCAUAAACUUCUUCUAGAUUAUCUAUAUCAUCUGUUUUACAUUUUAAUCUACUACACAAAGUAAGUGGCUUAGAGUCUUGUUUAACUAGAUGGAUAUUUUGUCUCUUCUGAUGAGGCUUUUAGAUAUUUCCAUUUUUUUUAAAUUUAUUGUUUUACUAGAUGCAACUAUCCCUGAUGAAUCUAAUAUAAUUUCUUUAUUACUUUGAUUUAUGUCAUGUUUUUCAAGAACUUUUACUAGCAAUUGGAUAAUUGUAUUAUUUUGUCUUAUUGUAACACUAGAGUCUUCUUUAGGUGUAUCGUAGUUAGAAAAACCUACGGGUGGAGAAAGAUGAUUUGCAGCCUCUUUUAAAGCUUGGCUAUAUUCAGUCAUAUAAUUAAGAGAGAACAAGAGUUUUUGCUUCUUCUACUAAUUUCUUAGUCUCAAGCACAACUUGAGUUACAUAUGAUCUUCUUGAUUUAAUACUAAGUUAUUCUUUUGCGGAAGAAAAUCUAAAUCUUUUUAAAUAAAAAUGUUUCUUUUUUGAUAUAAUCACUAUUUUUAGAUAUCUUAUUUUGAUGCAAUUUUAUUUGUUUCUAGAGAUUGCAGACUUAAAUUAAUUUUAUUAUCUAAUUCUGAGAUUUUAUUAUUAGUUCUUUGGUAUUCUUUAUUUAAAGUUUCAAACUUCUGAUCUAAUUCGUCUUGUCUCUUUCCCCAACUUAUGUAAGAAUUAUUUAUUAGAUCAACAAUUAAAUUUAACUGAUUAUGCGACGUAUGCCAAGUAGGUCUGUAGUAUUUACUCUACACCUUAUAUUAAUAUGGUCACUUGUAUCAACAAUGUUCCUUGUAUUCACUUCAAGAUUAGGAUAUUUUAAUCUUUCAAUAUUGAACCGGCUCCGACACCAGAUAGAUAUAAAAUAAACACUGAUAUAUAUAAUCUGAUUGAGAUGUUUGGCUUAUAUGCUUAAGAGUAUUCAGAUUUAAAUAUGCGGCCUGAUAAAAUAUGCGGCUCUCUUUUAUAUGCGUAGGAUUAUUUUUUUGUGAAUUUUGAAGAUUUUGUUUUAUAUGCUCAGAAGUUUAUUGGUUUUAUAUUCGCAGAAUCGUACCAGGUUGGCGAGACCAACAUUACAGCCAGUGUGCUUUAAUUUGGUAGUUCCACCCGAAGGGAAUACUUCUCUACGCCUACGUCGUUCUUUCAACUGCCACACUCGGCUUCAAACGAGAACUACCGUAAAGGUUUCUCCUAUAGGAUCCUUAGCACAGAGACUUAAAGCGCACAACCAGACCAGCAGAUACAAGAAAAUUAAAGGAGAACUACUUUAUUAAACAAACAAGUUUACAUAUGGUUUUUCCUUUCGAAAAACCCCCAAACUUCUAAAACAAAGAAGGGAUUUACAAUGGACUUGGUGCUAUUUUAUAGGGAUGGUACAGAGAAUUUUAUUGGGUUCAGGUGGUCUCGCAGAGACUUUGCUCUUGGAGGCUCUGGCUUCUCCUACUGAUGCCUCCGUCCUGGGAAGCACGAACUCCUUAUAUAGUGCUGCGAACAGCGCUGAGGCCUUCGCUGCUUCUUAUCCAGAUUAUCAAGUCUAUUUUCGCAUGGCGCAGACUUCAUUGGUAUGGCGAUAACUUGCAUGGCGUUGGCUUGCACGGCGCUUUAACUUAUAUGGCACAUGUCUUUGCUUCUUCUUGCAUGGUGCUUGUACGGUGCAUCAUCUUUGCUUCUUUAGUUUUCUGGAACAAGUUCCCAUGUAGAAUCUUCCAAAUAAUUGAGUGUAGGCAUAUCCAUGCAAUGCUUCUGCGGUGCU